UACGUAGGGUGCGAGCGUUAAUCGGAAUUACUGGGCGUAAAGCGUGCGCAGGCGGUCUGUUAAGACCGAUGUGAAAUCCCCGGGCUUAACCUGGGAACUGCAUUGGUGACUGGCAGGCUUUGAGUGUGGCAGAGGGAGGUAGAAUUCCACGUGUAGCAGUGAAAUGCGUAGAGAUGUGGAGGAAUACCGAUGGCGAAGGCAGCCUCCUGGGCCAACACUGACGCUGAGGAGCGAAGCCAGGGAGCAAACGGG
rnacentral:rRNA from 1 species